CAGUAGCCGCGGGAAUACGUAGGUGGCGAGCGUUGUCCGGAUUUAUUGGGCGUAAAGGGAGUGUAGGCGGUCUUUUAAGUCUGAUGUGAAAGCCCACGGCUCAACCGUGGAGGGUCAUUGGAAACUGGGAGACUUGAGUGCAGAAGAGGAGAGCGGAAUUCCAUGUGUAGCGGUGAAAUGCGUAGAUAUAUGGAGGAACACCAGUGGCGAAGGCGGCUCUCUGGUCUGUAACUGACGCUGAGGCUCGAAAGCGUGGGGAGCAAACAGGAUUAGAUACCCGAGUAGUCCCUGUCUCUUAUAC
rnacentral:rRNA from 1 species